AUCUCCACCCUGAUCAACAAGCCUGGUCACCCCCUGGGCCCCCAACUCUGGAGCAAGAAUACCCGUCAGCUCCCGAAGAAACCUCCCCCAGGGUCAGAACUUGGGCGGAGGUGGGGGGAGGGACUGAGGGGCGCCAAAAAAGGUCGAUCCCCCAAGUGUCUGUCCCGUGACGACGCCAGCUCUUCGGGCGACCGGGACGGUCCGGCUGACAGGGCGCCCCAGCGGGGUAAAGUGGCACCGUUAUCCGUGCCUGGGCGGGGGGCCGCGGGCCAACGCCGAGGGCGACCGCCCGUCCCGCGCCGGGAGGACAGCAGCGUGCCCGCCCGGCGAGAGGAAGCCUAAGGGCAAGUGACCCCAGAUGACGCUGCCCUUCAAGGUCAGCCUCUAGAGAAGGAUGGAGAGGAGUGGAUCUGGAAGCAGAUUAUCUAGCAGAUCCCACUAGCCACAACUACUGAAGCCCGUGCGCCUAGAGCCCGUGCUCCCCAACAAGAGAAGCCA